GCUAACUAAUCUUCCCCUUCGUCUCCGGCAUUAUUCCACUUGGACGAACACUAGCUCACCGGCCGGCCAUGGCGUCUUCUUCCGUUCUGAUCAAGCUGCUCGUCGUCGUCGGCUGCGCCGCCGCGGCCUCCGCGGCGACGCUCACCGUGGGUGGUAGCUCCGGGUGGACGCUUGGCCAGAACUACGAUACUUGGGCAAGUGGCCAAACCUUCGCGGUUGGAGACAAGCUCGUGUUCAGCUUCGUUGGGGCGCACACGGUGACGGAGGUGAACAAGAACGAUUACGA
rnacentral:misc_RNA from 1 species